UACGAUUAAGAGUGUAUUAUGACAAGGGAUAAGAAUUUAAAAAUGAAAAAUCUUGUGUCCUUUAAAUAAGAAGUAAAUAUAAUUCUCUAAUUCCUAAAAAGUUAUUAUUUAUUAAGUUUGACCUUACGAAAGCAUAAAAAUUCCAAACAAUAUUUUACUAUCCUUCGCUGCAAGUUGCAAUUUUUAUAUAAUAAAAAUAUAUACAUUAUCCAAAUACACAAACAAUUCACAUCAAAUUAAAUGGACAAAACAUCUCAACCCAACUUAGCUAUAUGAGCUAAAUAUUUAUCUAAAAAAAAAAGGUUCUAAAAAUAUCAUAAUGAAUUGAGCCCCCCUCCCAAAAAAAAGUAUAUUAAUAUGGGAUACAUUUCCCUUCCCAUUUUAUCUUUUCAUGAGUUUUAAUUGGGACUUGCACUAAUGACUUGAAUUAUCUAUCUCGUAAGUUUUAUAAUGAAAGUUAUUCAUAUAAAAAAUUAGUUUCAUCAGACAAUUAUAAAUAUGAUAACAAGUCACAUUUUAUUUUAUAAAAUAGAUGGUUUAAAUUUAAUUAUAUUUUCAAUUUAUUUUAUAAAAUAAAAUGCGAUUUAUUAUUGUAUUUACAAUUUUUUGAUAAAGUUGAUUUUUUGAAUAAAUGACCUUCAUUGCCAGGCUUACGAGAUAUACGAUUCGGAUCAUCAGUGUGGGCACCAAUUAAAACUCAUAAAAAGAGUAUGAAAAGGUAUAAAGAGAUGAGGUAUGGAAAAGGAGCUUAUCCCAAUUAAUAUAGACUCAGCUAACCACCACAAGUGGAUUGUAACUGCCUCAAAUUCAUACACGUGCUCAUCCUCUACACAUCAUCGGCAGGUGGCUUGACCAACUCUUUGAGCUGCUUGAACUGUAACUGUUUGGUUGGUAACUGCUGCUACAGCUCUGUAGACUGCUACAGCUUGACUUGUAACUCUGUGGCUUGUGACUCCUCUAGUUUGAGCUGUGGCUUAACAUGCCCCCUCAAGCUUAGAGGAGGCUGCCAUAACCUCUAAGUUGAAAGAGAUUUGGUGAAAAUAUCGACCAACUGAUUUGAAGUAGAAACAUGAGAGAUAUGGAACCCUUUGUUGUAAAUGAAAAAAAAAAUAUUAUUUCUUUUUUCUUAUUAAGAUCUCUUUUCGGAUU